rnacentral:rRNA from 1 species
GAUCAUGGCUCAGGAUGAACGCUGGCGGCGUGCUUAACACAUGCAAGUCGAACGAAGUACUUUUAUUUGAUUUCUUCGGAAUGAAGAUUUUAGUGACUGAGUGGCGGACGGGUGAGUAACGCGUGGGUAACCUGCCUCAUACAGGGGGAUAACAGUUAGAAACGACUGCUAAUACCGCAUAAGACCACAGCACCGCAUGGUGCAGGGGUAAAAACUCCGGUGGUAUGAGAUGGACCCGCGUCUGAUUAGG